AUUGAACGCUGGCGGCAGGCUUAACACAUGCAAGUCGCGCGAGCGGCGGACGGGUGAGUAAUGUCUGGGAAACUGCCUGAUGGAGGGGGAUAACUACUGGAAACGGUAGCUAAUACCGCAUACCAUCAGAUGUGCCCAGAUGGGAUUAGCUAGUCGGUGGGGUAAUGGCUCACCUAGGCGACGAUCCCUCGCUGGUCUGAGGGGCUGACCAAGCAAGAUGGAACUGAGACACGGUCCAGACUCCGACGGGAGGCAGGAGUGGGGAAUAUUGCACAAGGGGCGCAAGCCUGGUGCAGCCAAUACGCGUGUGUGAAGAAGGCCUUCGGGUUGUAAAGAACUUUCAGCGAGGAGGCGUUACUCGCAGAAGAAGCAACGGCUAACUCCGUGCCAGCAGCCGCGGUAAUAC
rnacentral:rRNA from 1 species